UCGUUUUUAUUUUAUGAACACCGAAUUUAAUCAAAUCAGAAUUAAUUCCAGGAUUCAGUCUACGUACCAAUUUCUCACAGUUCAAUGACUUCUCCAUUUCGGCGUAAUAAAAUGUAGAUAGAACUUUAUCGUAAUCGUCUUUUUUAAUAGCAUUAUCUCUAUUUAUCAGUACUACGAUGUUCGAAUCGCUACUACGAUGAUCGAAACGUGAGAAUAUUCGUUGCACAGAAAAAUUUGCUGGAACAUUCCAGUUUUAUGGCUGAUAUGAGAGUUGAGAUACGGUGUGUAAAAGCAUCAACGAUCAAGAGAUUUCCGCGAAGGUAUUCCAACCUCUCUUUCACCGUCUGCCAGAUAACAAUCUGAUGAGCAAGUCUGAUGAGCAAGUCUGAUGAUUGGCGGAUAAAUUUUUGGCUGACAAGACAGAAGCAGGACAGGUUGCUGUACAAUAGUUUCAAAGAAGAGAUCCUCGACUAGUGUGACUGCAUAUAGCAGAUACGGUGAAAAAUUCAGUAAAAGGAGAUGGACGAUCAUUUUGAAGCGAAAGUUCAAACGUCAGCACAUCACGGUGGGGCUGAGGAAUUCGUGUAAGGAUAAGCAUUACUCGUGAGUGCAUAUAAGCAUAUACGAAAGAGUUCACGCGCGGUUGCAAAGAGGAGGAUCUGGUCGGUCCGCGUGAAUAUGUAGGAACUCCAGUUCUCGCGUUUACUUCGUUGGACGAGCGCGUCAUAUACUUGCCUAACCAUCAAGGGGCCACUUUCGAAAACCUGCCAUUACAGGCAAUUAGGCAUGCAUCAUAGACCGCCAGAGCUGGACGCCUUACACGGUUACAGGAGUUAUCGGCUGUCGUAACGUUACACGCUGCCGCUUCGUCGCCGAAGACAACAACGAAGACGACGAUUUGUGGUGCUGGACACGGGGCCUCCUUGAGUUCCUUGUCGAUGACAGUUUUAUAGGAAGUACCACGCGCUCGUGCGUCUUCUCCUCGGCUUCUCUUCGCCUUCCUCUCUUUUAUUCUCUUUUCGAGCGUCAGCGAACGUCCCAUUAGGACGUAUCGACGCUACGCGCUCAGCAUUUAAUGCCAUGCUCGAGCGCGACUCAAAGUGAAAGCUCGCGUGUGCUACCUUGCCUCGAUUCAUUUUCCUGCCUUUCUUGUUAUUCAGGAGUUUCUCGUGCCGCGGAAAGAAGCAGAGAAAUGUUCACUUAGCAAACGUAUACUCGGUUAAUCUCGGCGCUCUCUAUCUGCCUGCUCGAGUUUUUCUGGCAACUUUUUAAAAUGCGUACUUCGAUAGAAUCAAGUUUGCACACUAUUUUUUUACACAUGCGCACAUUAAGUAAUAUAUUUUAUUAACAGUUUAAUUCUAAACAUAUAUAACAAUACUAAACAUUUUCUAUUUAAAUUAUUAUAACAUUCCUGGUUUUCUUAGUUGUUAGGUCGAUUCAAAUAUCAGAAUUUCUAAAACUAAUAGUUAAACCGUUCAUCUGAGAAGAAGUAGCAGUAAAACUUUGAGAAGCAAUCAAUUUUAAUGAGACACCGAUAUAAUUUAAACGCAGUUACUUUCGAAAUAAAUCUGGUUAUUUAUUUAUACUUUUCCCUCGAACAGAAUAAUUGGAUCUAAUUGGUAUUUCUCGUAUAGAUUUGCUUUAUCUCCGCAUGAGUGCAAGUUCCGGUAGGCAAAGAGAUCGCUUUUUUUAAAAUAGUGAAUUAGUCCAAACUAUCUCCUGUGGCAUCAUUACACAACUUGUCAUUUUUUUAUGGAAAGGAAGCAGAUGACCUUGAGUGAAGCGCCGAGAGCUUCGCCACACUUUCACCCGUUCUCCAACUGUUUUCCAUCCGGUACCGAGCUGCAGUUCUAACUCCGCAUAGGUUCGAUGCAGAUCGAUAAGAUGUAUAGAUUUCUUUCCGGACAUCUUUCGAGACAGAAAGAGAAUUUACGAAUUUCUCAAUUUUAUCAUUAAUUAAUUGAUAUUUCCAAAACAUUGUGAGUCAAAAAGAACUUGUAGACAAACUGCUAUGAAAAUCGUACCACUUUCCUAUCUGUUAACGUUACUUUACUUCAAUGGCGAUACCAAAUUACGUAAUUUCAUUUUAAUAUUAUAUUGUAUAUUAUUAUUUCGGAGAAACAGCAAUUCCGUCAUUAUGAAACGGCAGGAGAGCCCCCCUCUCCCGGUAACGGUUUCUCUCUCUCCCUCUCUCUCGUAGAAUGCGGAUUUCGAGGCAAGUUUCGCUCUCUGUCCGAUAGGUGAUGCUGGAUAUGAAGCUCUAUCCUUACGAAGGCCGACGACCUCGCGUAUACAAGCGCAUACGUACGUACUCGACACGUAAAAGUACCUAUACACGCACACGUGAGGAGCGGAGAGAUUCUUCUUUCUCUUCUCUCUUCACACAUUCUCGACUUACACGGGCGUAGAUGCUAGAAAUCCUUGCUGUUGUUCCCCGUGGUACUCGCGCUCAGAACUGUUAACUUUUGAAACAGCAGAGGGUUUUAUUUAGUUGAUUCAAUUUUACUUAUUUUGCAAAGGUAUAUCAAUCCUUAGUGAGGACCUAUCUUGAAGUUUUCUUGAUCCGCGAUCAAUCGAUUGAUAAUUUUAAUUGUAAUUUUUGUUAACUUCCGAUAUAUCGCUAUAUUAAGAAAAGUUAAAGUUACUUUAAAGAGAUCGUUCCAUUAAUCAAGUUUCGAAAUAAUUUGCUGACUUUGUUGCACUACUCGCUAAAACUUGCAAAUGCAUUUGCAUGAAUCUUAAUAUAUGAUAUUAUAUACAAUCACUUAGCUCUCGGCAUUCUCCACAUCUCGCAGGCACUUCAAUAUUUACCUGACCAAGACGAGCUUUAAGUCGAAGGCAAACUGACCGACGUUCCGUUAAUGUGCUUAGACAUCGAGUGUCCGCUCAUGGAGUCUACAAGGAGACGCUUCACUCGCUAACUAAAGAGAUUACCAAGCCUUCCUCUUCUUUUCGAAAAUUUAUUAAAUAUUUGGCGAGCGUUCAGGAUCGAAAAAUAUGCUCGAGCGACUUAGCGAGCGCAGGAAUUGAUGUUGUACAAUAAUACUAAAAAAAUCGUAAAAUGUGGUGCUUUUCAGAAAUGCUUCUCUUUUUUAUAUCAUGCUUCUCUUAUUAAUAAAAAAGUUUUGUAUGCAUUUAUCCUUUUUGCUAGAUGGUUACUAUUUACAUUUGUAAAAAAAUGUAUAAUAAAAGAUUUAUUGAAAUGUA